rnacentral:tRNA from 1 species
CAGAAGGUAGUUUAUUAAAAAUUCUAGUUUUGGGUAUUAGUGAAAAAUAAUAUUAUUUUCUUCUGA